CCUACGGGUGGCAGCAGUGGGGAAUUUUCCGCAAUGGGCGCAAGCCUGACGGAGUGACGCCGCGUGGGGGACGAAGGCCUUCGGGUCGUAAACCCCUGUCAGAGGGAAAGAAGGGGGCGGGAGUGAACUCUCGUCUCUGACGGUACCCUCAGAGGAAGCCCCGGCCAACUCUGUGCCAGCAGCCGCGGUAAGACAGAGGGGGCAAGCGUUGCUCGGAAUCACUGGGCGUAAAGGGCGCGUAGGCGGGAGACCAAGUCGGUCGUGAAAUCUUCGGGCUCAACCCGAAGGGGUCGGCCGAAACUGGUUUUCUUGAGGGAGGCAGAGGAGUCUGGAAUUCCCGGUGUAGCGGUGAAAUGUGUAGAGAUCGGGAGGAACACCGGUGGCGAAGGCGGGACUCUGGGCCUACCCUGACGCUGAGGCGCGAAGGCGUGGGGAGCAAA
rnacentral:rRNA from 1 species